CAAGCCAGAAGAGGUGCGUCGCCCAGGUAGAGUGUCAGAGGAGCCGUUGUCCAAUGACGGCGCUUGAGGGGGAGCGACGCCGAGGUAAGGUGAUGUGCGGCAUUCAUCGUAUCGACUACAGGGGCUGAAUCCCCUGAGUUGUCACCAGGGAUUGUCCGUAGGGGCAAUCAGCAAGGUGGGGCGCUUCUGGGUGU
rnacentral:ncRNA from 2 species